rnacentral:lncRNA from 1 species
UAUUUUGGCCAGGAGCUGAAGUUGGUUGUUUAGUAGUAGUAGUUUGAGUAGUGACCGAAGUAGUAGUCUGGUGUGUGGGUGCAAGAGUAGUUGGGGAAGAAUUAGGUGUGGUAAUUGGGGCAGCUGUGGUCUCUUGUGGAGCUGGGGAAGACGGUGGAGCUGGUGUAGUUGCAGAAGGUGUGGGUGGGGCAGCUGUGGUCUCUGGUGGAGCUGAGGCGGAUGAUGGGUCUAGGGUAGUUGCAGAAGGUGUGGGUGGGGCAGCUGUGGUGUCUUGUGGAGCUGGGGAAUUCACUGGUGCUAAUGUAGCUACAGAAGAGCUUGUGUUAACAUUUUCUCUUGAAGAUAUGGUGGUGGCAUUCUGGGGAAGAAAAGUCACAUUUGGAAGGGUAGUAAUUUUGGUGGCUGGUGAGGAUUUGGGAAUUUGGGGGGGUUAUUAGGUGAAGGUGGAAGCUUAGGCCUACAGCGUUUGUGCAG